UACGGCCACGUCACGUUGAAACACUAGUUCCUCUACGAUCACCGAAGUUAAACAACGUCCAGCCUGGUCAGUAUCUAGAUUGGUGACCGCAUGGGAAUACCAGGUGCUGUUA